rnacentral:lncRNA from 1 species
CAGCAAUCAGGAAAACUGUGCCGAACUUGUUUCCAAAAUGCAGAGCGCAAACGCCAGGAUACCUUCGCCAGGAACUAAAGAGCUGUUAUCCAGAUGAGUGGAUGCUUUGCUUGUGCAUUCAAGUCAACAUACACACAGCUUUCACUGUAUUCAGGAAAGCAGACAGACCUUAUUUCCCCCCAUGUCCUCCGAGCAGAUGCCACAGUAGCCGGAGGGAACCGGCCCUUGGUCUGCCAGCGAGAGUUAAAAGACCUAAAGCACAGCGAGGGUCCAUCAAGUACGAGCUGUAACCUGCCGUGACACCUGAUGGGUGAUGUAAAUUGACAUUGCUGCUUUGGAGUGCCUUAGCCGGGGCUGAAAGUGCAUCUCAGCACUGCUGAGGCCCCAGGGAGGAGGGCCCCUUUCCUCCGCCAUCCGAUCCAAUUAACCGCGCCACGCUCUGGCUGUUUGUCUCACAUUUACAUGUUAAUACAGCCAGGAAAAUCUGUGUUUAGUCAGCAAAUCUGUGCCGCUGCAUAAUACCAGAGACUCUACUAUCUCUAAAUUAACUGAUAAUGCAUAAACUGGCUUUAGACCAUGAGCAGAAUCUGAGAUUUCUUUCCCCCUGCAGAACACCAGAUCAUAUAAGAAUAUAACAGUGAUGAAUGAGAGACAGAGGCUCACUGAACUUUGCAUUCCUUCACCUGCUCUGUCCCUUGUGCCCUGUCACAGCCUUUCACCCCUAGAGCAGCGAGUGUGUGCUUACUUCCUCUUUCAUUUCUGUGGGUCCCGCUGCUCCAGUCAGAGCUAAUCAGAAAAACAAGACAACACAAAAGCUCAGCAAUUCUACGCCAUACUGUGAGCGUCCUUCUCCAGCACCUGGUCUUGCAUCACUCUCUCUCUCUCUCUCUCUCUCUCUCUCUCUCUCUCGAGCCAAUGUUCUCUUCUACUCCACAGCAGAGUGUUUAACACUUGUAGAUGUCUGAUUUAUUUAUUUAUUUAUAAUGGUAAGCAAUAGGAAAAAAUGGACAGCGGCAC